rnacentral:rRNA from 1 species
GACGAACGCUGGCGGCGUGCCUAAUACAUGCAAGUAGAACGCAGUUGCGAACGGGGGAGUAACGCGUAGGUAACUGACGGGGAGCGGGGGAUAACUAUGGGAAACGAUAGCUAAUACCGCAAACUACCAGAUGGACAUGCGUUGAAUUAGCUAGUUGGUGAGGUAACGGCUCACCAAGGCACCGAUACAUAGCCGACCUGAGAGGGUGAUCGGCCACACUGGGACUGAGACCCGGCCCAGACUCCUUCGGGAGGCCGCAGUAGGGAAUCUUCGGCCAUGGGGGGAACCCUGACCGAGCAACGCCGCGUGAGUGAAGACGGUUUUCGGAUCGUAAAGCUCGGUUGUUAAGGAAGCGUUACUUAACCAGAAAGGGACGGCUAACUACGUGCCAGCAGCCGCGGUAAUUC